rnacentral:tRNA from 1 species
GGCGCGUUGCCCGAGCGGCCAAAGGGAGCGGACUGUAAAUCCGCCGGCUCAGCCUACGUUGGUUCGAAUCCAACACGCGCCACCA